AAGAACACUGUCAUUAAGGGCUGAGAGGUGAAGAUAUGUUAGAUAAGAAAAUAGCAGACAGGGACCUUGAAGCACUUUAAGAAGCCUUGUUCUGCAGAUAUCCUUGUCCUGGUUCCAAUCAUCAGAAAACCUGCUCUUUCUUACCACAGGUGGGAAGUUGCUGUGGAGCUCAUGCUGUUUGGUAACUCAGGCUGUCCUCAGUAAUCUGAUGGGAGAAGAAUCUCAGGUGUCCCAAGAGCCAUUGGGAAGAGGUGUGCAUCAGGAGCAUACAGAUUAGACCACGUGGCUGGUGCAUGAACCUUGAAAUGAUGAGUGAAUGAAAACAGGAGGUACCAGUAAGGAGGACAGGAUUCAGCGGAGACGUCCAGACGGCUCUGUGUGGUGUUUGGAGAGUUGCCCUCAGUUGAAGCGCUUCUGCAGGUAAUCCCCAG